rnacentral:rRNA from 1 species
GAGUUUGAUCGUGGCUCAGGAUGAACGCUGGCGGCGUGCUUAACACAUGCAAGUCGAACGGGGAUUACACGGAGAUGCGAUUUCGGUCAAAUCAAGUGCAAUCUUAGUGGCGGACGGGUGAGUAACGCGUGGGUAACCUGCCUUGCACUGGGGGAUAACACUUAGAAAUAGGUGCUAAUACCGCAUAAGCGCACGGUCCUGCAUGGGACAGUGUGAAAAACUCCGGUGGUGCAAGAUGGACCCGCGUCUGAUUAGCUGGUUGGCGGGGUAAAGGCCCACCAAGGCGACGA